rnacentral:rRNA from 1 species
GAGUUUGAUCAUGGCUCAGGAUGAACGCUAGCGGCAGGCCUAAUACAUGCAAGUCGGACGGGAUUUAGGAGCUUGCUUCUAAUGAGAGUGGCGCACGGGUGCGUAACACGUAUGUAACCUACCUUGUUCAGGGGGAUAGCCUCUCGAAAGAGAGAUUAAGACCGCAUAAAAUCACAAUGUGGCAUCACAAAAUGAUCAAAUAUUUAUAGGAACAAGAUGGGCAUGCGGAACAUUAGCUAGUUGGUAAGGUAACGGCUUACCAAGGCUACGAUGUUUAGGGGAUCUGAGAGGAUGACCCCCACACUGGUACUGAGACACGGACCAGACUCCUACGGGAGGCAGCAGUAAGGAGUAUUGGUCAAUGGAGGCAACUCUGAACCAGCCAUGCCGCGUGCAGGAAGACAGCCCUCUGGGUCUAAACUGCUUUUAUCGGGAAUAAACCUUUCUACGUGUAGAGAGCUGAAUGUACCGAAGGAUAAGGAUCGGCUAACUCCGUGCCAGCAGCCG